rnacentral:rRNA from 1 species
UACGGAAGGGGCAAGCGUUGUUCGGAAUCAUUGGGCGUAAAGGGCGCGUAGGUGGUUCUGUAUGUCUACCGUGAAAGCGUACGGCUCAACUGUAUUUUGUCGGUAGAAACUGCAGGACUUGAGGCUGGGAGGGCUGGUGGAAUUCCCCGUGUAGCGGUGAAAUGCGUAGAGAUGGGGGAGAACACUCGUGGCGAAGGCGGCCAGCUAGACCAGUUCUGACACUGAGGCGCGACAGCGUGGGGAGCAAACAGG